rnacentral:rRNA from 1 species
UACGAAGGGUGCAAGCGUUACUCGGAAUUACUGGGCGUAAAGCGUGCGUAGGUGGUUCGUUAAGUCUGAUGUGAAAGCCCUGGGCUCAACCUGGGAAUGGCAUUGGAAACUGGCGACCUAGAGUGCGGUAGAGGGUAGUGGAAUUCCCGGUGUAGCAGUGAAAUGCGUAGAGAUCGGGAGGAACAUCCGUGGCGAAGGCGACUACCUGGACCAGCACUGACACUGAGGCACGAAAGCUAGGGGAGCAAACGGG